rnacentral:rRNA from 1 species
CCUACGGGUGGCAGCAGUGGGGAAUAUUGGGCAAUGGGCGCAAGCCUGACCCAGCAACGCAGCGUGAAGGAAGAAGGCUCUCGGGUUGUAAACUUCUUUUUAGAGGGAAGUGCAGAGGACGGUACCUCUUGAAUAAGCCAUGGCUAACGACGUGCCAGCAGCUGCGGCAAUACGGAGGUCGCAAGCGUUGUCCGGAUUUACUGGGUGUAAAGGGCGUGUAGCUGGGAAGAGAAGUCAGAUGUGAAAGUCCGCGGCUCAACCGCGAAACUGCAUUUGAAACUGGUAUUCUUGAGUACCGUAGAGGUAAGCGGAAUUCGUUGUGUAGCGGUGAAAUGCGUAGAUAUAAGGAAGAACACCAGUGGCGAAGGCAGAUGACUAAACGGCAACUGACAGUGAGGCGCGAAAGCGUGGGGAGCAAACAGGAUUAGAUACCCGAGUAGUC